GCAACAAUAUCAUGUUGCUAUGUCUGUUCCCGUGCGAUCAUCGAAGUUAAGCAACGCCGAGCAAAGUCAGUACCUAAAUGGGUGACCAUUUGAGAAUACCAGGU